GAUGAACGCUAGCUACAGGCUUAACACAUGCAAGUCGAGGGGAAACGAUAUUGGAAGCUUGCUUCCGAUAGGCGUCGACCGGCGCACGGGUGAGUAACGCGUAUCCAACCUGCCCACCACUUGGGGAUAACCUUGCGAAAGUAAGACUAAUACCCAAUGAUAUCUCUAGAAGACAUCUGAAGGAGAUUAAAGAUUCAUCGGUGAUGGAUGGGGAUGCGUCUGAUUAGCUUGUUGGCGGGGUAACGGCCCACCAAGGCGACGAUCAGUAGGGGUUCUAGGAGGAAGGUACCCCACAUUGGAACUGAAACACGGUCCAAACUCCGACGGGAGGCAGCAGUGAGGAAUAUUGGUCAAUGGGCGAGAGCCUGAACCAGCCAAGCAGCGUGCAGGAUGACGGCCCUAUGGGUUGUAAACUGCUUUUAUAGGGGAAUAAAGUGAGUCUCGUGAGACUUUUUGCAUGUACCUUAUGAAUAAGGACCGGCUAAUUCCGUGCCAGCCGCCGCAGUAA
rnacentral:rRNA from 1 species